GAUGAACGCUGGCGGCGUGCCUAACACAUGCAAGUCGAGCGAACGGACGAGAAGCUUGCUUGUCUGAUGUUAGCGGCGGACGGGUGAGUAACACGUGGAUAAACUAACUCUAAGACUGGGAUAAUUUCGGGAAAUCGUGGCUAAUACCCGAUAAUAUAUUGAACCGCAUGGUUCCAAAGUGGAAGUCGCUCUUGCUGUCACUAAUAGAUGGAUCCGCGCUGCAUUAGUUAGUUGGUAAGGUAACGGCUUAGCAAGGCAACGAUGCAUAGCCGACCUGAGAGGGUGGACGGACAGCCUGGAUGUGAGGAAGGUCACAGACUCCGGGAGGAGGCAGCAGUAGGGAAUCUUCCGCGAUGGGCGAGAGCCUGACGGAGCAACGCCGCGUGAGUGCUGAACGUCUUCGGACCGUAAAGCUCUGUUAUUAGGGAAGAACAUAUGUGUAAGUACCUGUGAAGAUAUUGACAGUACCUAAUCAGAAAGCCCCGGCUAACUACGUG
rnacentral:rRNA from 1 species